AUUGAACGCUGGCGGCAGGCCUAACACAUGCAAGUCGAGCGGAUGAAGGGAGCUUGCUCCUGGAUUCAGCGGCGGACGGGUGAGUAAUGCCUAGGAAUCUGCCUGGUAGUGGGGGAUAACGUCCGGAAACGGGCGCUAAUACCGCAUACGUCCUGCGGGAGCAAGUGGGGGAUCUUCGGACCUCACGCUCUCAGAUGAGUCUAGGUCGGAUUAGCUAGUUGGUGGGGUAAAGGGCUACCAAGGCGGCGAUCCGUAACUGGUCUGAGAGGAUGAUCAGUCACACUGGAACUGAGACACGGUCCAGACGCCUACGGGAGGCGGCAGUGGGGAAUAUUGGACAGUGGGCGGAAGCCUGAUCCAGCCAUGCCGCGUGUGUGGAGAAGGUCUUGGGAGUGUAAAGCACGUUAAGUUGGGAGGAAGGGCAGUAAGUUAAUACCUUGCUGGUUUGACGUUACCAACAGAAGAAGCACCGGCUAACUUCGUG
rnacentral:rRNA from 1 species